rnacentral:rRNA from 1 species
ACACAUGCAAGUCGAGCGGUAGCACAGAGAGCUUGCUCUCGGGUGACGAGCGGCGGACGGGUGAGUAAUGUCUGGGAAACUGCCUGAUGGAGGGGGAUAACUACUGGAAACGGUAGCUAAUACCGCAUAACGUCGCAAGACCAAAGAGGGGGACCUUCGGGCCUCUUGCCAUCGGAUGUGCCCAGAUGGGAUUAGCUAGUAGGUGGGGUAAAGGCUCACCUAGGCGACGAUCCCUAGCUGGUCUGAGAGGAUGACCAGCCACACUGGAACUGAGACACGGUCCAGACUCCUACGGGAGGCAGCAGUGGGGAAUAUUGCACAAUGGGCGCAAGCCUGAUGCAGCCAUGCCGCGUGUGUGAAGAAGGCCUUCGGGUUGUAAAGCACUUUCAGCGGGGAGGAAGGCAUUAAGGUUAAUAACCUUAGUGAUUGACGUUACCCGCAGAAGAAGCACCGGCUAACUCCGUGCCAGCAGCCGCGGUAAUACGGAGGGUGCAAGCGUUAAUCGGAAUUACUGGGGCGUAAAGCGCACGCAGGCGGUCUGUCAAGUCGGAUGUG